rnacentral:rRNA from 1 species
UACGAGAGGGGCGAGCGUUAUCCGGAAUAAUUGGGCGUAAAGGGUUCGUAGGUGGUAUUAUGGAUGCUAUUAAUGAAAUACUAGAGCCUAACUCUAGGACCAUUUUUAGAACACUUUUACUUGAGUUUAACAGAGGAUAGUAGAAUUUCAUGUGGAGGGGUGGAAUCCUUAGAUAUAUGAAGGAAUGCCGAUAGCGAAAGCAACUAUCUGGGUUAAUACUGACGCUGAGGAACGAAAGCGUGGGGAGCAAACAGG